CCCUUAGAUGUUCUGGGCCGCACACGCGCUACACUGAAGGAGGCAGCGUGUACUCCUGGAUCGAAAGAUUUGGGUAACCCGCGAAUCUCCUUCGUGCUAGGGAUUGAGGUUUGCAAUUAUCCUUCAUGAACGAGGAAUUCCCAGUAAGUGCAAGUCAUAAGCUUGCGCUGACUACGUCCCUGCCCUUUGUACACACCGCCCGUCGCUACUACCGAUUGAAUGAUUUAGUGAGGACUUCGGACUGGGACCGAUGCGGCUUUCGGGCUGCGUCGGUAUUCUGGAAAGAUGUCCAAACUGUAUCAUUUCCAGGAAGUAAAAGUCGUAACA
rnacentral:rRNA from 1 species